UACGUAGGGUGCAAGCGUUGUCCGGAAUUAUUGGGCGUAAAGAGCUCGUAGGCGGUUCGUCGCGUCGGCUGUGAAAACCCGGAGCUUAACUCCGAGCCUGCUUCCGAUACGGGCAGACUAGAGGUAGGCAGGGGAGAGCGGAACUCCUGGUGUAGCGGUGAAAUGCGCAGAUAUCAGGAGGAACACCGGUGGCGAAGGCGGGUCUCUGGGCCGAUACUGACGCUGAGGAGCGAAAGCGUGGGGAGCGAACAGG
rnacentral:rRNA from 1 species